AAGAAAGAGAAAAAAAAAGAAGAAGAGAGAGGAAAAAGGUGAAAAUUUUGGAUUUUUGUCGGAUUCGUCGUCAAUCCUUCGAAGGUGGUACUAUUUCCGGACGUUCUUGAUCGAAUUUUCUUCAUCGUCGGUAAAGGCAAGUGAAUGUAUGUUUAGAUGUUGACGUGCAUUUUGGGGAUGGAUCUCGGUAGCUGCACACACUAACUUAUCACGAUGUCGAUAGCUCAACCGGUGUAUACAAGUGGUGUGUCUGAUGGUCCGUCGUUUGUUUUUGUUUUUGUUGUGGUACGACGCUGGUAGCGUCGCGGCGGACUCUAUAUAUGCUGGUUAUAUCUGAUUCUGUCUGCCUGAGAUUUCUCUUUUGAUCAGUUAUACCUCUCUAUAGAGGAAAUGCUGCCAAAUUGUCCUAUUUUCAUAUAAAUAGGCUGAGUUGUAAAGUAGGGUGUUACAGCUUGGUAUCAGAGCCUAGGCUUUAGGUCCUAGGUAAUUGAAUGAUGAACCUGACACACUUGCACAAAUAGAAUGGGUAUGGGAUGUAUUGCAUUGCAUACGUCUUGUUUAUCUUUAUUCGCUUAUGUUCACUAUCUCAGAUAAGUACUAUUGAAGUUGUUUGUUUGA